rnacentral:rRNA from 1 species
UUUGCCUACGGGACGCAGCAGUGAGGAAUAUUGGUCAAUGGGCGAGAGCCUGAACCAGCCAAGUCGCGUGAAGGAUGACGGCCCUACGGGUUGUAAACUUCUUUUGUCAGGGAGAAAUUGAGUCCACGUGUGGGCUUAGCGAGAGUACCUGAAGAAAAAGCAUCGGCUAACUCCGUGCCAGCAGCCGCGGUAAUACGGAGGAUGCGAGCGUUAUCCGGAUUUAUUGGGUUUAAAGGGUGCGUAGGCGGAAUAUCAAGUCAGCGGUAAAAAUUCGUGGCUCAACCCCGUCGUGCCGUUGAGACUGG